rnacentral:misc_RNA from 1 species
UCCGUGUUAACCACGGCAGUCUCUUUAGAGUGCCCAACUGAAUGCUGGCAACUAAAGACAAGGGUUGCGCUCGUUGCGGGACUUAACCUAACAUGUCACCACACGAGCUGACGACAGCCAUGCAGCACCUGUCUUCCUGUCGUAUUGCUACGAAAGCCGUAUCUCUACGGUUGUCAGGAGAUGUCAGAUCCAGGUAAGGUUUUUCGCGUUGCUUCGAAUUAAACCACAUGAUCCACCGCUUGUGCGGGCCCCCGUCAAUUCCUUUGAGUUUUAGUCUUGCGACCGUACUUCCCAGGCGGGGUACUUAUUGCGUUAGCGCCGACUCCGCAGGGGUCAAGUCCCACGAAGUCUAGUACCCAUCGUUUACAGCGUGGACUAC